rnacentral:rRNA from 1 species
GAUGAACGCUGGCGGCGUGCCUAAUACAUGCAAGUCGAGCGAACAGAUGAGGCGCUUGCUCCUCUGACGUUAGCGGCGGACGGGUGAGUAACACGUGGAUACCCUACCUAUAAGACUGGGAUAACUUCGGGAACCCGGAUCUCUACCGGAUAAUAUAUUGAACCGCAUGGUUCAAUAGUGAAAGACGGUUUUGCUGUCACUUAUAGCUGGAUCCGCGCCGCAUUAGCUAGUUGGUAAGGUAACGGCUUACCAAGGCGACGAUGCGUAGCCGACCUGAGAGGGUGAUCGGCCACACUGGAACUGAGACACGGUCCAGACUCCUACGGGAGGCAGCAGUAGGGAAUCUUCCGCAAUGGGCGAAAGCCUGACGGAGCAACGCCGCGUGAGUGAUGAAGGUCUUCGGAUCGUAAAACUCUGUUAUUAGGGAAGAACAAAUGUGUAAGUAACUAUGCACGUCUUGACGGUACCAAAUCAGAAAGCCACGGCUAACUACGUG